CUAUCAGAGUGAACCGGAAUAGAAAGAGAUGGUGGAGAAGAGAGAUCUUCAAGAAGUCGAACUAACUAGCCCAGUCGGCAUCACAAAAAGCUAGUAGAUUGAGGGAUGGAUCAGAUGACAAGAGUAUUCCUUGACCGGGAUCAGCACAUAAGUACCUUAAGACACGAAAUGCUGCUGAUAAAUGGGAUUCAGUGGGCCGUUGCAUGUAUUGACUGAGGCAGAGAACAACAAAAGAGAGAUAUGGACGUGUCAAGUUUGAGUAUUGUUCUUCGCUGAGGUACUGAGCAUAGUUGUUGUUCCCUGCGUCUACGUAUUGGGCAAUGACAUCUUCAGCUUCCUCCUUUGAUGGUACAGUUUAGCUCCAUUAGACCUUCCAAAUCUCUGCUCCAAGCUGUCCCAAAGCUCCUUAGCAGUUUUAGAGUAGAUCACUCUAUCAGCUAUUUCCUUGGAUAGUGAGUUCAGCAACCAUGACAUCACCAUGUCAUUGCAGCAAUUCCAUUGCUCAUAGUCCACUGCAGUCAGAACAGGAGCUUUGCAAGCACCAUUGAUGAAUCCAAGCUUUUUCUUGGCUGAGAGGGCAAUGAGGAUAGACCUUCUCCCACCUGGAAAACAUUUUCCAUCAAAAGUAGAGUUGAUCAGACUCAUUCCAGGCAAAUUUUAGUUGUGAAGGUGAUAGGGGUGAUUGUGGUGAAGGUUUCACCAUUUCCAGCAGUGGUUUGACUUCCACCAGUGGUUUAAGUUACAGUGGAUUCCCCAGUCAUAUUUGAUUGCAGAAAGUAUGGAAAUGAUUAAUGGAUGUUGAAGAUGAUUGGAUCGAGCUAAAGCUCUGAUACCAUGAAAGAAAAUAAAGAAGAUGGAGAUAGAAAAAUCUUUUGUGUAUCAAUGGAGGAAGAAAGCUUCUCUCCAACAAAACACCCAUAACAACAACUUCAAGCUCUAGUGAAACAACUAGAAAUCUCCGAUGACCCUUCUUUCUUCUUCACAUUUUUGUAUAAAGUAAUGUUAAUUUUUAGACACCAGAUUUUAUUGUUUAUUUUGAUAAAUGUUGCUUUGUUAUUAU